rnacentral:rRNA from 1 species
GAUGAACGCUGGCGGCGUGCCUAAUACAUGCAAGUCGAGCGAACGGACGAGAAGCUUGCUUCUCUGAUGUUAGCGGCGGACGGGUGAGUAACACGUGGAUAACCUACCUAUAAGACUGGGAUAACUUCGGGAAACCGUAGCUAAUACCGGAUAAUAUUUUGAACCGCAUGGUUCAACGGUGAAAGACGGUCUUGCUGUCACUUAUAGAUGGAUCCGCGCUGCAUUAGCUAGUUGGUAAGGUAACGGCUUACCAAGGCAACGAUGCAUAGCCGACCUGAGAGGGUGAUCGGCCACACUGGAACUGAGACACGGUCCAGACUCCUACGGGAGGCAGCAGUAGGGAAUCUUCCGCAAUGGGCGAAAGCCUGACGGAGCAACGCCGCGUGAGUGAAGAAGGUCUUCGGAUCGUAAAACUCUGUUAUUAGGGAAGAACAAAUGUGUAAGUAACUGUGCACAUCUUGACGGUACCUAAUCAGAAAGCCACGGCUAACUACGUG